ensembl:lncRNA
GGUUUGAGAUGGGUAGCUGCAAGUCCUCAUUUAAAUCCUCCUGCUGCAGGCUGGCCCAGAGCAGGCAGGGCCAGCAACACGAGGAAGGUGAGGGAGCCUUGGCGUCCGGCAGUCAUCAGACACAAACCAUGGUGCCACCAGGCAUAGACCACUGCUUCCAGCCAAGCUCAUCUGGGCUUCUGUCACCCUGAGAGAGGACUAGAAGCUGAAUUUACGCCACUCCAGCCUACUCUGCGCCUUGGGAUCAGCUGGGGAUGGCCUUAACCUGUGUGCUUCAGUAAAGAAGACCUUCAGACAGCCCUGUGAAUGCUGUGCCAUAAAGAGCAGCCAGUGCCAGCCACGUACAUUAUCCCUCCAUGCUGGAGCAGGAAAAGGAUGAGCUUUUCACAGAAGCUCAAGACUAAAUUGGAAUAGGUCUUAAAGCUUUGUCAUCUUCCGGAAGGUUGCCAGUGAUGUACAGAUUGGAGAGAAGGCAAAUGAGCCAUGAACAGUGCAGUGGUACACAGCAGCCUGCAUCGCCUGGCGGUCUGGUUGCUGUUAAACAGCAUGGGUGUACCGCAGCCAAGUUCAAAUCCAGACAUCCAAGGAGAUGGGGCUCUGAGCAUCCUUUGGGAGAGAGACAGCCCUUCCUCCCAGGAAACUGUGGCAGAUGGGAAAAGAGGUGGAGGCCCCCACCGAACGUGAGCAGUUAGCCCAGCCCUUCUGCCAAGUGAUUAAAGGCAGGGGAAUACUGAGUGGGAGUGAGCAGGAUGUGUUACCUCUGCGUCUGGCCAAGUGAGUCCAUUUCUGGUGUCAGCAAUUCAAAAAGGAUAUUGAGGAACUGGAGGGGAUUCAAGGGAGAGAUACCAGGAUGAGAAAGAAAUAGAAAAUGUGAGGAAGACCCAAGGAGGGGAAUCUGUUUAUCUUAUCAAAAUCAGGAUAAUGCAGCCUGUGGCUGCCUACAGAUGAAACACAAAUUUAUUAGCAGAUCAUUCUUCAGCCUAACGGGAAAAUAUAGUGUCAUCCAUCAAGGAGAGUAGAAGCCACUAAUACCUUAGAACAAAAAUAAGGCACAAAUAUCUAACAAUAGCAUUAAUCAAGAAUUCACCUCAUUAGCAAUCAGAGUAGACUGCAUUUUCUUCCUGCUGAAAGAGUGUUCUGACUCUGUCAGGAGCUGACGUGGAAAUCUGAGCUCUGUGCUCUGCAGAACAUCAAACGAUCUCGGUGAUCUCUCACAGAUCUGUCUUUCAAUCUGGUAAUUCCUUUUAUAGCCCUUCCUUCUUAUAGCUCUUCCCUGGAAUCUUGUAAUUCCCAAUUCAGUAUGGGGAAAAAAAAUCGUUUCAGUGUCUUCAAUGUCUACCAAAUGCUUUUUACAUUCAUCUUGCGGUGUUUCUGAUUUCCUGAAAUACAGUUUUGGCUGAUCUCUAGCUCUGUGUGCUAAUGCACAGAUAAUGUGUGAGGAGAUGUCUCGCAGUUGGGCUGCAAUACGCAAAGCUUCAUGGGAGCACUCCAUAACAACGCAGGCAACUAUGGCAAUAAAUGACUGAGUCAUGAAUUGGCUUCUGCAUCCUGGGGCACUUUCAGCUGAAAUCCCACUCUUCAGAAAUGAAAAAAGAAGAAACCACAAUGGCCAGACCUUUUACCAAGGACUUGCAAAGUAGGGUUUGAAAAAACAACCUGUUAAGCCCUAUAUAUCACCCAUAACCACAUUUUAUUGUAUGCAGGAGUACAUCAUUUAAGAAGAAAAAAAAAAGUCUUUCGUUGCUAGGCUGUGUGAUAUUCCUACUUGUUAAGGACUUUGACUCCCUUUUCUCUCAGCAACCACCUUGUUACAACACUGGAAGUUCAAGGCAGACUUCACAGUCCAUGCAUGGUGUUGCAAUGAGCCAAAGGAAAAGGCAGUGGUAGACUGGAACCAGGAGAGAGAGAAGCAAAAAGAGCGAGUGGGGAUGCCGUGCUGGAUGCUGGUUUGCUCACUGCAGCACCAGUCCUUUUUGGAGGAAUUUCUGGGUUAGAUCAUUCACUAGUGUUGGUAUAUCACUGCCACUGUUUAAAUGCAGUGAUAUUUUAUGAAUAUUGCUGUUGCUCGUACCCAGAGUUCACAAUGCCAUGGCAUGUGGAUACAUCAUAUACAGCAUUUACAUCACUGUUAUUUUACAAUUUGAGAAUAUGAACGUAUUACAGCAAUAAUAGACAAGCAGCAGUCUGAGUCCAUGCUUAAGCAGAUAAAGUUGAGAAAUGCUGAAUGCAAAAUUUCUGGAAAGAACAUUUUUGUUAAGGUUAGUCGAAGAUGCUCUGUUGGUUUAGGAUAUCUGUUUGGAUAUCUGUUUGGAUAUCUGACACAACUCAGUUUUUCACUCCUGAUGCAGAGCAGGCAGAAGCUCUCCCAGAUCCCAGUUUUAAAUAGCCUGCUAUGCACAGCACUCAUGAGUAACCUCCUGGGUCAUGCUGAUGAACUAGGGAGCUAAACUCAGAUUUAGCUCAGAACACAUUUUCUCCAUGAAUUUGGCCUGUUCAGGCACACUUGUUAGAUCAGGAAACUCCGUAAUUUUUCAGCAAAAGUAGAGGAAGCAGAGAGGAGAAUCCAGUGCAAACAGUGUGGAUUACAGCCUGGAUUUUGAGGGCGCACACAAAAGGAUUUGAUAUUUGUAGGGCCUUAGUGUUGCUGUUUCAGUUCUGUCACCUCCGCUAUUAAAGUCAAACUUUGUUUUGGAUUUAUCACGUACAGCCAUGUGGAUAACAUAAGCCCUCUGGUUUUAAAUAACAGCUUUAGGCACCAGUAAGCAACAGACAAAUUCUACUGAAAAGCCUUCAGACAUUUUCCAUUCUUGCUUUAGAAACUACCUCAAAGCCUUGAACAGAAACACCAUUCUGAGCCAUCUAAGAAGUCCAGAGCCUCAUCUGAUCAAAGCAUGU